rnacentral:rRNA from 1 species
AUUGAACGCUGGCGGCAGGCCUAACACAUGCAAGUCGAGCGCGAAAGUCUUCGGAUGAGUAAAGCGGCGGACGGGUGAGUAAUGCAUGGGCAUCUGCCUGGUAGUGGGGGACAACGUUUCGAAAGAGACGCUAAUACCGCAUACGCCCUACGGGGGAAAGGGGGGGAUCUUCGGACCUCUCGCUAUCAGAUGAGCCCAUGUCAGAUUAGCUAGUUGGUAGGGUAAAGGCCUACCAAGGCGACGAUCUGUAACUGGUCUGAGAGGAUGAUCAGUCACACUGGAACUGAGACACGGUCCAGACUCCUACGGGAGGCAGCAGUGGGGAAUAUUGGACAAUGGGGGCAACCCUGAUCCAGCCAUGCCGCGUGUGUGAAGAAGGCCCUAGGGUUGUAAAGCACUUUCAGUGGGGAGAAAGGUUGUUCAGUUAAUACCUGAAUGAAUUGGUGUUACCCACAGAAGAAGCACCGGCUAACUCCGUGCCAGCCGCCGCCGUAA